rnacentral:piRNA from 1 species
UCUUAUGCGGUAUAGAGUGGCCAUUCUGGG